AUUGAACGCUGGCGGCAGGCCUAACACAUGCAAGUCGAGCGAGCGGCGGACGGGUGAGGAAUGUCUGGGAAACUGCCAGAUGGAGGGGGAGAACUACUGGAAACGGUAGCAAAUACCGCAUCCCACAAGAUGUGCCCAGAUUGGAUUAGCUAGUAGGUUGGGUAAUGGCCCACCGAGGCGACGAUCCCUAGCUGGUCUGAGAGGAUGACCAGCCACACUGGAACUGAGACACGGUCCAGACUCCUACGGGAGGCAGCAGUGGGGAAUAUUGCACAAGGGGCGCAAGCCUGAUGCAGCCAUGCCGCGUGUAUGAAGAAGGCCUUCGGGUUGUAAAGUACUUUCAGCGGGGAGGCGUUACCCUCAGAAGAAGCACCGGCUAACUCCGUGCCAGCCGCCGCGGUAAUAC
rnacentral:rRNA from 1 species